rnacentral:misc_RNA from 1 species
UUGGAGGGCAAGUCUGGUGCCAGCAGCCGCGGUAAUUCCAGCUCCAAUAGCGUAUAUUAAAGUUGUUGCAGUUAAAAAGCUCGUAGUUGAAUUUCGGGGUCAGCAGGUUGGUCGUGCCACUGGUAUGAACUGGUUUCGCUGAUUCCUCCUUUCUGAAGAACUGUAAUGUCAUUAAUUUGGUGUUGCAGGGAAACAGGACUGUUACUUUGAAAAAAUUAGAGUGUUUAAAGCAGGCUAACGCUUGAAUACAUUAGCAUGGAAUAAUGAAAUAGGACGUUCAAACCUAUUUUGUUGGUUUCUAGGAUUGACGUAAUGAUUAAUAGGGAUAGUUGGG